rnacentral:rRNA from 1 species
AUGGCUCGGUCUGCAGCUAGCACGCUCGGCCUCGAUGCGCAGCUCCCUCCGUCGGGCGUUGGCUGCAGUCCCGCGCCUGCCUCAGCAAUCAGCGUCCGCGACCUACUUCUCCUCCGCUGCGUCGACCUCCGACCCCUGCGCGCCUGGCCUCUCCGUCGCGGCUCCACCCUGCUCCGGCCUACUACGCCUCCCGCACGGGCGCGACUUCGCCCCUACGUCGAGCUUUCCCCCCCGCACACACGCGCGGGACCGGGCCGCCUGCAGCUCUGCUCCAACCGGCCGCGCGGCCGCGCACCUCUACCGCGUCCGCCGGCCGGCCGACUCCGGCCUCGUCCGGCUCCGCCCAGCUUCCAGCUCCGCCCGGCUCCGGCUGUUGCCCCGCGGCCCCGGCCGCUGCGCCGUCCGCCUGCACGGUCUUGGUCACCGCCGACUCCACGCCAUCCGUCCGCCGCUUCGCCCCUUCAUCAGUGCGAGCCCCGCAUGCCGCGCCUGCGGCCGCUUCGAGCCGCCACUCAGAGGCCACGCUGCCGGCAAGCCCUCCUUUGCCGCCCACUCCGCGCAAAGCCGCCACACGCCCGGCCCCGGCGCCGGCUUCUCCGAGUCCCGCGUCGGCUUCGGGUGGCCGCCCCGCGCGCAGCCGCGUCCCGCCUCAGGCCGGCUCCUUCCGCGCUUGCCGGCUUCCGCUCACCAGGCCGCUGUCGUGCCUCCGGCCGGCUCCGCCUCGCCGCCGCGCCCGGCCGACUCUUGCAGCACCCGGCCGCCGGGUCACCGGCGCCCCCUCCUCCGGCUUUGUCCCGCUCCGCCCCGUUCGCUGCCCCACGCCGGUUCCUCCAUCCCGGCUGGUCGCCAACCGGCUCCGUCCGCAUGCGCUGGGUCCUUCGCCGCGCCGCCUUGUGCCGCGGCCCGAGCGUGCCGCCUCGCGCCGCUCCGCCCUCCCCUGCAAGCUGCUACCAUGGCGCGCUGACGCACCUGCGCGGGGCCCCCUCGAUCCCCUCCACGCCUUGCCUCCAUCGACUGCGCAGCGUCUGCCUUCGCCUACGCCGGGCCGCCAGGUCCCCAUGCGCCGGCUCCGUCCCGAGACGCUCCGUGUCCCGCACCGGCCAGGUCGCCGCUGCCGACUCCGCGCAUCGCGCCGGCUCCGCGCUCGGCCCUGCCUGCUCCGCGAGCCGUCCCUCCGCAACGCCUCGCCUGACGGGCUCUGACCGCCCUGCGCGCCGUGUCGGGCCGUCCGCACCAGCCGCGUCCGGCUCCUCCCGUGCCUGCGCUGACCGGCUGCCGCGCGUCCGCCUACUCCCGCGCCGGCUGCGGCGGGGACAGCCGGCUCCCGCUCGUCCCGUGGUCGGCUCGCCGCUUGCCGGCCGCGCCGCCUCGCGUCGUUCCGCCCUCCCACCUGCCGGCUGCCGCCCGCCAGCUCCGCCUCCUACAUCACCCGGACGCCGGGUCGCCGGCGCCUCUGCCCUUGGCCCGGCCGCUCUGCUCCAGCCCUUGCCGGCCCCCCCGCGUCCGUCAGGUCGCCGCCCCGUGUUGGCCAGCUUCCCCACGACCGGCCAGCCCUGCCGCCUCCCCACGCUCUGA